rnacentral:lncRNA from 1 species
UGAGCUGUCACCCUAAACUUCCCAGUGACCCGCACCCCCUCCCCAGGACACGCACCCUCCUUUUCCCAAGGCUGACCUUUCCCCCAAGCCCCCAGUGACCUGCACCCUCCCCCAGGACUGACCUGUCCCCCCCAAACCUCCAGGGAUUCGCACCCCCCACCCUGGGGAGACCUGCGCCUCUCCUGGGACUGACCUGCCCCUCAAACCCCACUGCACCCCCUCACAGACCUGCCCCCUGUCUGGGGGAGACUGCGUCUCCCUCCUCCCAGGCCUGACCCGUACCCCCAGUGACCUGCAUCCCCCUUCCCCAAGGGGUCCUGAACCCUGCGCCUCCAAGGCUAUCCUGCUUGUCCUACACCUCCCCCCCCAGUGACCUGCACCCUUGCCCUGGGGUGUCCUGCCCCCCUCCUCCAUGGAGUUUUCUUCUUGGCUACCCUUUCCCAGCCCAAAGUGACCUACGAGCUACGAGCCCCCCCCCCCGCCUCCGGUCACCGUCCCCUGCAGGCCCUUCAGUCCCCGGGAUCUCCUGCCCCCCCUUCUUCACUGGGGUCACCUGCUUGGCGGCCUCCUCCCUGCGGUCCUUGCGCCUCUGGGGCCCCCUUCCCCACCAGACCAGAGCAGAGCAGGGGCUGAGGAUGCCCAGGGAUGCUGUGCCCUUGCCGGCUGCACCCCCCCCCCAGCCCCUGCCAAGGUUCAGACUUGAGUGUGCUGCGGAAUUGCGAUUUCCUGUGCUGUGCUUUACUUCUCUGAAAAUUACUGUCCACCCCUGUCCUUUACAAGUAAGUAACUCUUAACAGACCCCUUCUGAAUUCUAUUGCAAGAGUCAUCGAAGAGAGAGUCUAAUACAGGAACUGAAAGUUAGACUGUUAUACUAUUGUAGUAUUUUAUGCCUGUUUUCCUAAACCAGAGAUACAGGGGCCUCAAUGGUUCAAAUUUAAUUUCAUAAUCUUAAGAGGCUUCCAAAUGGACUUUAAAAAUUGAAAUGCCUUCUUGUAUCCAGUUUAAAGAAAUAUUCCCUUCUGAGAGACUUUAUUGUAGGUGUUUAUCAUAACUCUUCACCCAAACAAAGAAAAGCUAAAAGUGAAACUAAGUGAGAAAAGGGGGUGAUUUGUUGGCAGUAUUGUUGAAUGCCCACAAUUCUCAAGGCACUCAGUGGUACAAGGAAGACAUGAUUUCUUCCAUGUAAGAGCCUGUUGUAAUCUUAAGAGCUCAUUAAACAGCCUAAAGCUGAAAAAAGCAUUCUUAUUUGAAUUAUUUUCAUGUUUUAGUAUUUUAGGAAUUAGAAACAGGUGAGGGCAUGUAAAAACUUUUCAUCUGACUGCAUUUUCUUAGUAUUUUGGUUGUCAUCCAAUAAGAAGCAUAUUUAGCCAAGACAUUAUGAAAAAAAAAUUGGGCCUCAGGUCCUUACAAAUUUAUAUUAAGUUACGAGUACUUGCCCCAGUAAAUACAAAGAACCCAGGAGGAUCUGAAAUGAGGGAACCUGGAUUUAAAUGUCUGUUCCCAUUAGUUUACUCCAUGGUCAACACGCCUUCCCACUUGGAUGAGCCUGUUUUUCUUAUCUGUAAAAUGGAGAGAUAACAGUUCGUAAUGGCUACUCAGUGGUUUGUGUGGAAGAUGCUCUGAGUUACUGUAGUGUGGAAGGUGCCUGGAAAUUUCUGGGCUGUAAGGUAGCUGCUAUUUCAAAUCUUCAGGUCCAGAAACUAGCCUUCAAGUUUUUCUCCUGCUUAGCAAUGCCAGAGAAAUGAGCCAGCAAGACCUGGGUUCAAGUUGGGCCUCUGUGUGACUGGUCAGAUCACUUGACCUCUCGAUUCCCUGGGCAGCCAAGGUGCAGCCCUGCUUUGGAAGAGGGUGUUGCCAGGAGCCAAGGAGUCCCAGGUGGGACUGCUGAGUGACCAUUUCCGAGAUUGUUUGGAAUGAUUGUUUGGCAUUUAUUGUCUUUCCAACAUGUGCAGUUAUCAGAUGCACGUUUCUUUGCGGGAGGGGGAUGUCCAUAACCUAGUCGGCUGGCAGCUGUUAUCUAAAUAGUGGCCAGGUUUUGCUUUCGUUUGUGAAAUCACAGGCCUAGAGGUUGACUGGCUGCUGCUGACAAGUUACACCACCGUGGUAGGCCUCAGUUUCCUCAUCUAUAGAAUAGGGUGAUUGAACUGUCCAUUUCCUUAAUGUGUUUCUGGCCCAUUUUAAUUCUUCAUGAUUGCAUUCACUUCUUUUUUUUUUAAUCAGAAUUUUGGAACUGUAAUGAACUGCUCUUGCUCAGGUGAUAGGCAGGUUGUUGGGACUCAGCUUCCUGGCAGCAUUCUAGAAGGUGUUAUUAAGGGAAUGGUGUAGUUGGUGGGCGCUGAGAGAGGGAAGCUGGAUCGUGCCCAGCCUGUAGAUGGUCACCCAGAACCCGUCAUCCCAGACUAACUUCAGCUCAUUCUUUGAUGGGGUUUCUAGACUGUUACAGCAGGGGAUGCUCAAGGAUUGAGAUUGAGAUUGAGAUCCUAGAAAGGCCUUUGACAAAGGCACCACCAUGUUCAAGUUGGUGGUAGACCAAGGAACCUGGGCUGGAAAUUUGGAGAUUUCUCUGUGGACCCUUUCAAUGGGAAAAACAACAACUAAUUUUUCAUACUUAAUUAUAGGGAGAGAGACCAGAGAAGGUCCAAGUCCAGCUCAAAUUCAUUUGUUCUAAAAGGGUUCUUAAAAUUCCAAAAGGUUCUAUGUAAUAGAAGACAUAGAAGCUGAGGGUUGAAGUAGAAAUAAUAUUGGAUUGGCUGUUGGAGGGUUUGUAUUUGAGUCCCAGCUGGGUGACCUCUACACGUGUAAGUUUCCCUCUCUAUAAAGUGGGAACAAUGAUACUUGUUCCAUAAACUAACUCCCAGGGCUAUUGUGAAGAAAAUAUGUUGUGGACUCUUUUAAGUAUCAUAGAAAUAUGACUGGUUGAUGUUAAGGGAUCCCAUUGAUUGGUGAGAUGAAUUGACCGUUCCGUUGGUGUUCACUAUCUUCUUUAUGUGAAUCUCCCAUAGAGGCCCCCCACCCCCAGCCUAAAGGGCUCCUCCGUUCUUUAAAUUUGUCCAUUGUCUGGCCUUUCCAGUGGUGUGUACACUUGGUCAUUGGACAAGAAAUAGAAAUGAAGAGAGCUCCUUGAUGUGGGUGUUUGGUCUGUGCCUGCCCCCUUUAGCUGUGUCUGCUGAGCUGUCCACCAGGGCUUCACCUCACAUGCUGGGGGCUUGCCUCUUGGUCUCCAGAACUUCUGAGGGUGGCAGGGCAGUGCGUAGACUGAGCAGCUUUUCCAGUCACUCAUUUGUGGGAUGUUCUCUUUGGUGCUUGUGUUCGAUUUUACAUUGAGAACAUACUGCAGUCUAUGUUCCAUGCAUUUCUCUGUGUUCUUUGGGUCACCCUCCAUUUUGAUUUUUCCAAAGAUUACAGGAUUUGAAACCUCAUAGCUCCACUAGAAGAAUGCUGGUGUUGAGAAGAGAGGUCUUCAUUUUAGGGAGAAGUGGCUUUCCUUUCCACAAGGUGCAAGCCUCGGUGAAAAAGCCACAGCUACAGAGAUUCAGUGACCCUCUGAUUGUUAAUAUCAAGUGCGGUGAAAACAGGGAGCCUUAUGCUUGCCAAAGGUGUUUGGCCGUCAUGGAGCAGUGGUGUUUGCUUCUGUUUGUGAAGGACCCGUCAGAGGAAGCCCUAGAACGGCUCGGAGCCUCCUGACUUAGAUCCAUAAUGACUUAAGAGUUUGCCCUAAUCAUCCACACAGGAAAAACCACAUGGAUGAAGAUAGCAAAGUGAGCUAAGGAACGGUUUGUACAUUUUGAAAUAAAGUUUGGUCCUACUUAAAAGUGUAAAAAAUU